rnacentral:rRNA from 1 species
UACGGGGGGGGCAAGCGUUGUUCGGAAUUACUGGGCGUAAAGGGCCAGUAGGCGGCCAACUAAGUCGGACGUGAAAUCCCCAGGCUCAACCUGGGAACUGCGUCCGAUACUGGAUGGCUUGAAUCCGGGAGAGGGAUGCGGAAUUCCAGGUGUAGCGGUGAAAUGCGUAGAUAUCUGGAGGAACACCGGUGGCGAAGGCGGCAUCCUGGACCAAUAUUGACGCUGAGGAGCGAAAGCCAGGGGAGCAAACGGG